rfam:Acyrthosiphon pisum strain LSR1 Contig40852, whole genome shotgun sequence.
CCGUGUUCUGUGACUGACUCGGCUGGCGCCGGACUGGCGGGGGCCAGCCGGUCUGUCACGGAACACGGGA